CCUACGGGUGACAGCAGUGAGGAAUAUUGGUCAAUGGUCGGGAGACUGAACCAGCCAAGCCGCGUGAGGGAGGAAGGUACAGAGUAUCGUAAACCUCUUUUGUCAGGGAACAAAGGCGGGGACGUGUCCCCGGAUGAGUGUACCUGAAGAAAAAGCAUCGGCUAACUCCGUGCCAGCAGCCGCGGUAAUACGGAGGAUGCGAGCGUUAUCCGGAUUUAUUGGGUUUAAAGGGUGCGCAGGCGGUCUGUUAAGUCAGCGGUAAACGCCCGGGGCUCAACCCCGGCCCGCCGUUGAAACUGGCAGUCUCGAGGUGGAUAGAAGUAUGCGGAAUGCGCGGUGUAGCGGUGAAAUGCAUAGAGAUCGCGAAGAACUCCGAUUGCGAAGGCAGCAUGCGGGCUCCACACUGACGCUGAGGCACGAAAGCGUGGGUAUCGAACAGGAGUAGAUACACGAGUAGUC
rnacentral:rRNA from 1 species